CCUACGGGCGGUAGCAGUGGGGAAUAUUGGACAAUGGGCGAAAGCCUGAUCCAGCCAUGCCGCGUGUGUGAAGAAGGCAUUCGGGUUGUAAAGCACUUUCAGUGGGGAAGAAAGCCUUGGGGCUAAUACCCUCGAGGAAGGACAUCACCCACAGAAGAAGCACCGGCUAACUCCGUGCCAGCAGCCGCGGUAAUACGGAGGGUGCGAGCGUUAAUCGGAAUUACUGGGCGUAAAGCGCGCGUAGGCGGUCUGAUAAGCCGGUUGUGAAAGCCCCGGGCUCAACCUGGGAACGGCAUCCGGAACUGUCAGGCUAGAGUGCAGGAGAGGAAGGUAGAAUUCCCGGUGUAGCGGUGAAAUGCGUAGAGAUCGGGAGGAAUACCAGUGGCGAAGGCGGCCUUCUGGACUGACACUGACGCUGAGGUGCGAAAGCGUGGGUAGCAAACAGGAUUAGAUACCCUGGUAGUC
rnacentral:rRNA from 1 species